CAGUAGCCGCGGGAAAACGGAGGGGGCUAGCGUUGUUCGGAAUUACUGGGCGUAAAGCGCACGUAGGCGGCUUGGUAAGUUAGAGGUGAAAGCCCGGAGCUCAACUCCGGAAUUGCCUUUAAGACUGCCGAGCUAGUAGGUGAGAGAGGUAAGUGGAAUUCCGAGUGUAGAGGUGAAAUUCGUAGAUAUUCGGAAGAACACCAGUGGCGAAGGCGGCUUACUGGCUCAUUCUAGACGCUGAGGUGCGAAAGCGUGGGGAGCAAACAGGAUUAGAUACCCGGGUAGUCCCUGUCUCUUAUAC
rnacentral:rRNA from 1 species